rnacentral:rRNA from 1 species
GACGUAGGGGGCCAGCGUUGCUCGGAAUAACUGGGCGUAAAGGGUUCGUAGGCGGUGUGGCAAGUCGGGAGUGAAAUCCUGAGGCUUAACUUCAGGACUGCUUCCGAAACUGCCAUGCUCGAGUGCGGGAGAGGCGAGUGGAAUUGCAGGUGUAGCGGUGAAAUGCGUAGAUAUCUGCAGGAACACCAGUGGCGAAAGCGGCUCGCUGGACCGCAACUGACGCUGAGGAACGAAAGCUAGGGGAGCAAACAGG